AAAUAUUAGAUUAUGGUGGAUGUCCAUAACUCCUAUAACACCCACUACUUUUAUCCAUUAUCUCUUUAACUUCCACUACUCCAAUACUUAUGGUUGUAACUCCCACACCUACAUGAUCUCCCCCAUGAUCUUCCUCCAUGAUCUCAAAAGCUUAAUGACAUAUUUAUGGAAUUCUUUUAGUAUACCUCUAUGCAGUACUAUAAAUAGAGGAUGAGAAAUCAUUUUGUAAUACACUUGGAUACAUAGAAGAAAUAUAUUCUCUUCUUUAUUUCUCUCUACUUUGUUGUCAACUCCCACACCUCCAUGAUCUCCCCCAUGAUCUUCCUCCAUGAUCUCAAAAGCUUAAUGACAUAUUUAUGGAAUUCUUUUACUAUACAUCUAUGUAGUACUAUAAAUAGAGGAUGAGAAAUCAUUUUGUAUUACAC
rnacentral:lncRNA from 1 species